rnacentral:lncRNA from 1 species
CAAGAGGUAGGCUAGUAAAAUGGUCUGACGUUCUCCUUUGAGACUUAUGUUCCUGUUUCUUUCAGAGAACUCUGUGAAGACUUUGAGAAACUCAGCCAAGCACUCAGAGUGAGCAAACUUUUUCAGUGUUUUUUCUUCCUGAAAGCUCAGAGUAGGAAAAUCUGGCUUCCAGAAGGGACCGAUCUAAAGCCAUGAAGCAGAGCAGCCUUGACAGAGAGGUUCUUGCGUGGAUCAGAAGGCUGAAGCUGUUGGCCUCACCUCGUCAGUCGAAGCGUUCCCAGUCUGGGUUUUCUCUGGAGCUGUGGUUGGAGGAGGUGACAGCUAUGUGGAUGUGUAGCAGCAGGAAACAUUUGGCUGAUUGAGCAG